rnacentral:rRNA from 1 species
CGCCGGGGGAACGAGCGGCGAACGGGUGAGUAACACGUGGGUGAUCUGCCUCGCACUCUGGGAUAAGCCUGGGAAACUGGGUCUAAUACCGGAUAUUGACCUUACAUCGCAUGGUGUUUGGUGGAAAGAUUUAUCGGUGCGAGAUGGGCCCGCGGCCUAUCAGCUUGUUGGUGGGGUAAUGGCCUACCAAGGCGACGACGGGUAGCCGGCCUGAGAGGGCGACCGGCCACACUGGGACUGAGACACGGCCCAGACUCCUACGGGAGGCAGCAGUGGGGAAUAUUGCACAAUGGGCGAAAGCCUGAUGCAGCGACGCCGCGUGAGGGAUGACGGCCUUCGGGUUGUAAACCUCUUUCGACAGGGACGAAGCGCAAGUGACGGUACCUGUAGAAGAAGCACCGGCCAACUACGUGCCAGCAGCCGCGGUAAUACGUAGGGUGCGAGCGUUGUCCGGAAUUACUGGGCGUAAAGAGCUUGUAGGCGGCUUGUCGCGUCGAUCGUGAAAACUUGGGGCUCAACCCCAAGCUUGCGGUCGAUACGGGCAGGCUUGAGUACUUCAGGGGAGACUGGAAUUCCUGGUGUAGCGGUGAAAUGCGCAGAUAUCAGGAGGAACACCGGUGGCGAAGGCGGGUCUCUGGGAAGUAACUGACGCUGAGAAGCGAAAGCGUGGGUAGCGAACAGGAUUAGAUACCCUGGUAGUCCACGCCGUAAACGGUGGGUACUAGGUGUGGGUUUCCUUCCACGGGAUCCGUGCCGUAGCUAACGCAUUAAGUACCCCGCCUGGGGAGUACGGCCGCAAGGCUAAAACUCAAAGGAAUUGACGGGGGCCCGCACAAGCGGCGGAGCAUGUGGAUUAAUUCGAUGCAACGCGAAGAACCUUACCUGGGUUUGACAUACACCGGAAACCUGCAGAGAUGUAGGCCCCCUUGUGGUCGGUGUACAGGUGGUGCAUGGCUGUCGUCAGCUCGUGUCGUGAGAUGUUGGGUUAAGUCCCGCAACGAGCGCAACCCUUAUCUUAUGUUGCCAGCGCGUAAUGGCGGGGACUCGUGAGAGACUGCCGGGGUCAACUCGGAGGAAGGUGGGGACGACGUCAAGUCAUCAUGCCCCUUAUGUCCAGGGCUUCACACAUGCUACAAUGGCCGGUACAGAGGGCUGCGAUACCGUGAGGUGGAGCGAAUCCCUUAAAGCCGGUCUCAGUUCGGAUCGGGGUCUGCAAACUCGACCCCGUGAAGUUGGAGUCGCUAGUUUCGCGGCUCAGCACGCUGCG